CGGCAGUGCACCGCUAGCUGGCUGUCGGGAUGCGGGUCACAGCCGCUGGCUGCACUCCCCU
rnacentral:pre_miRNA from 1 species